GCCUGAGUGGCUCAGUCGGUUGAGCACCCGACUUCAGCUCAGGUCAUGAUCUCACAGCUCGUGGGUUCGAGCCCCACGUCGGGCU
rnacentral:tRNA from 1 species